AACAUCAUUAGAUCAGCUCCUAAUCGUCAUCCACGGAGGAGAAAGAGUCGCCAUUGCACUAUGAUAAUGACUCAUACGGGAGUUAGUAGAAGCAACAGUUCGAAUGCCAAUAGGAAUGGAAGCAAAGAUCAUCUCUGGCGUGAAACCGGGAUAUGGUAGUGAUGCCCCGAAGGUAGCACUAAGCACCUGGAUUUGGGACGCUAUGUCAGCCAAAUCGAGUGAAACUUCAAGACGUGAAAUUAUGUAAGAAAAUAACAUCCGUUGACCCCCUGCUGAUCCUGGCCGUGCUGAUAGUGUAUUGAAGGACAUCACACUGACAUCAAAUCAAAACGUCGAUGCCGAAACGAGAGACUAUUUAACACUACCCCAUCAGCAUCGACAUCGACAUCGACUUUCCGGCGCAUGGGGACACUACUCCUCAUAUGAACUUAUGCGGUAACGUUCCGAUCGUGCACAAGGUCAUGGCAAUAUCAGCCCCAAAAAAAUAUGGUAUCUAUUACACCUGAACAACUGAACGUCACUCCGUCAUCAAUAACAGGAAACUCCGGGGACAAUAACGUCGAUCGACAAUUAACCCAUGGACAGUAUGCCUUUCAUGAAACCGGAAGUUUCGGUAAGCUAUCAGUCCUGAAGAGUAAACGGAACGCAAAAUAAUGAAACUUUUCUCAAAAUCCAGUAAGGAACACCUCUAAUGCGAAAGUCGUCUCUCCGAUAAAUACUAUUUAUCGACAAAGCUCGUGAGUUCGGCAAUGGAUCGCUGCUCAACCGAAUCAUCUCACUUUUGAUGAGUCCCACCCUGUUCAGGAACGUUGAGUCACUUGCUGGUCAAAAUCAUCGAGCGAAUCCUAUAUAAGCUGGACGAUAUAUCUUGGAUUGGCUACCAUAAUUUUCACUAUGCGUCUCUAUUUAUAGUGACAACUUUCAUGAAUACUUGCGUAACACAAUGACCGUUAAUAGUGAUUGCGUUCGGCUACCGGAAUUGUUUUGAUCUGGGAUUUUGAUGUUGCAGAUUUCCAUUUUGAUGGGAUGCACUGUUUGCCCUUGAACUCGCUGGCAGAAAUUAUCAAGCACGUGCUGGUGUACGACUUUACAAUUACGGCGCAGCGUACUGUAUCGCGUCAAAUAAAUCAAAUGCGUCAAAUAACCGCAAAGAAUUUUUUUUUAUCUGAUAUCAUCUCAUCUCUUUUUCCCUCCUAAUUCCAGGCUGUGGAUUUGAUUUGACUUAAGUUGGCAAGGAUCGGUAACGGUAGAACUAUUGUCGGCAAGAGGACCCUGAAGACACGGUUGGUUUUGGAGAUGCCGGUAUCGUUCCUGGAAAAAAAAAUAAUUCCUCGGUACCGGACAAGAUUUGGCGAAUUUACAUCGUGCUGAUCAGGAUCCGAUGGGGAACCCACGAUAUCGUCCAUAUGAGGCUGCUGAGUCGGGCCAAUCUGAUGAUGAUCACGAAGAAAAACUGCGCGACUCGACAAAAAAAACCGAUCCUGUUCCUCCGUAUGGAGAGGCUGGACCAUAACCGAUUAGAUCGGUGGCGCCCAAGUUCCCUUAGGCGGUGCGGCAUUAGACGAUGCAACAUCCCGCUGGUGCCCUUGG